rnacentral:rRNA from 1 species
UACGUAGGGUGCGAGCGUUGUCCGGAAUUACUGGGCGUAAAGAGCUCGUAGGUGGUUUGUCGCGUUGUCCGUGAAAACUCACAGCUCAACUGUGGGCGUGCGGGCGAUACGGGCAGACUGGAGUACUGCAGGGGAGACUGGAAUUCCUGGUGUAGCGGUGGAAUGCGCAGAUAUCGGGAGGAACACCAGUGGCGCAGGCGGCGUCCUGGACCGGCACUGACGCUGAGGAGCGAAGCGUGGGGAGC